rnacentral:rRNA from 1 species
AACGAACGCUGGCGGCAGGCCUAACACAUGCAAGUCGAGCGCCCAGCAAUGGGAGCGGCGGACGGGUGAGUAACGCGUGGGAAUUUUUCCUGGAGUACGGAACAACCGAGGGAAACUUCGGCUAAUACCGUAUGAUGUCUAGCGACCAAAGAUUUAUCGCUCUGGGGUAAGCCCGCGUCAGAUUAGGUAGUUGGUGGGGUAACGGCCUACCAAGCCUGCGAUCUGUAGCUGGUCUGAGAGGACGAUCAGCCACACUGGGACUGAGACACGGCCCAGACUCCUACGGGAGGCAGCAGUGGGGAAUAUUGGACAAUGGGCGAAAGCCUGAUCCAGCCAUGCCGCGUGAGUGAUGAAGGCCUUAGGUUGUAAAGCUCUUUUACCCGGGAAGAUAAUGACGGUACCGGGAGAAUAAGCCCCGGCUAACUUCGUGCC